rnacentral:lncRNA from 1 species
AUGAACCUGGCUCUUCCUGGCAUUGGGGCAGAGGGGAUUGGCCCCAAAUCCCACCCUGAUCCCUCAUUCCAAGGGAUCUCACUCCAAGCCAGGGCAGAGGCGGCGCUGGAUGAGGACGAGUGGCUUGGUGGAGGCAGCAGCAGGAGAAUCCCAGAAUCCCCAAAUCACUUGGGGACACUUGGGGACAAUUGGGGACACUCAGGAGCACGGCUGGACAUGGACAGGGGUGGCAGCUUACCUGUGCUGGGAGUGGUGAUUGCUGGUGAGGAGAGAGAAAGGGACACGGGUCAGAGCUGCCCUCUGCAUCUGAGCCACCGCUCCAGGGAGAGCCAGAGCCUGGAGAGUGGGAUCAGCCCAACCCCAAAUCCCAGCUUUUCCUGCUCUCAGGGAUCAGGAUCAGCCCAUCCCAACCCCAAAUCCCAGCUUUUCCUGCUCUCAGGGAUCAGGAUCAGCCCACCCCACCUUUCCCCACCUGUCCCCAGCUCUCACCUGCGCAGAGCUGCCCCAGGUUGGUGACGGUGACGUUCCUGCUGCUGACGGCGUUCCGUGCCGUGCACGUCACCGGCUCCAGCCCAUCCUGGGAUGUUUCAUUCACCUGCAGCACCACGGAGCUCCCGUCCCACGUCUGAUCUCCCACAUUCCAGGUGUAGAAAACAUUCCCAAAGCCAGUGCCGGGCGUGGAGCAGCGCAGGGAGGAACUGCAGCUUCCACCCGAGCAGUUCUGGGCCUCGCAGGUCACCGUGGGCAAUGCCAGCUCCCCUGGGGACAUCGCGGUGUCACAAACCUCUCUUUUAGUGUGAAACACCCCAAAACAGCACUAAAAGCACCCCAAAAUGGCAUUAAAAGCACCCCCAAAACAGCACUGAAAGCACCCCCAAAAUGGCAUUAAAAGCGCCCCCAACAACGCUGAAAGCACUCCCAAACAGCACUAAAAGCACUCCAAAACAGCACUGAAAGCACCCCAAAACAGCACUGAAAGCACCCCGAAACUGCAGUAAAAGCACCCCCAAACAGCACUGAAAGCACCCCCAAAACAGCACAGAAAGCACCCAAAAUGGCAUUAAAAGCACCCCAAAACAGCACUGAAAGCACCCCCAAAACUGCACUAAAAGCACCCCCAAAACAGCACUGAAAGCACCCCCAAACAGCACUGAGAGCACCCCAAAACAGCACUGAAAGCACCCCCAAAACAGCACUGAAAGCACCCCCAAACAGCACUGAGAGCACCCCAAAACAGCACUGAAAGCACCCCAAAACAGCACAGAAAGCACCCCAAAACAGCACUGAGAGCACCCCAAAAUGGCAUUAAAAGCACCCCAAAACAGCACUAAAAGCACCCCCAAAAUGGCAUUAAAAGAAAGCCCAAAACAGCACUAAAAGCACCCCAAAAACAGCACUAAAAGCACCCCAAAAUGGCAUUAAAAGCACCCCAAAACAGCACUGAGAGCACCCCAAAACAGCACUGAAAGCACCCCCAAAAUGGCAUUAAAAGCACCCCAAAACAGCACAGAAAGCA